rnacentral:lncRNA from 1 species
UCCAAGCCUAGAUCCUAAUGAAAAUUGAGGGCCAAGGAUACCUCCUUCAACCAUAGCCAAUGAAGGCCCCACCAAUGAGGAGCUAGAGGAAGUAUUACCUCUUCUACCACAACUAUAGCCACAAUAGUGAGGACUGCCUCUAAUUGAAGGAUAAAAUUGAAGUUUUGAUUUGAAGGGGUUACCUCGACAGAUAUUUUCAGAAGUGGGAGAAUCGAGCAACUGAAGAGCCAUCUCGGUACUAGCCCAAUGAGAAGAACAAUGGUAACCAAUCAACAAUUGGUAUUACCAAUAUAAUUUUGGACUUCACUAAUGGUAGGGGACAGAGGACCAAGUUGGAGAAUUGAAGAGGCAAUGCAUCGGGGAUGUCUUUUCUUUUCCUGAUGAUGAUCUUCGAGGAGUUCAAAAUUCUUAUGAUGAUAUUGUCGUCGUAUCAAUGAUUAUGGCAAACUAUGAU